rnacentral:lncRNA from 1 species
UUUCAAUAAAUGAAUAGCUUUAUGACUAGAUAUGACAGUGAUUGAUUUUAAUGGUUUAGUUGCUUGAAUUCAUACAACAGGAUGGUUAGGAAUAUGAAAACUAACAACCUUACGAAAGUAAUCAAUUUUGGCAUGAUGAGUAGUUAACCAAUCAAUCCCUAAAAUCACAUCAAAAGCAAGUAUCUUUAAAGAGAUAAGGUCAACAGGUAAUGUGAUGGUGCCAACU